UGACUCUUGCCCGAGGAAGGAAUAUUUGCUGUUUGUAAAACUGAGCUAUCUAUCCAUGCCCUGUAGAGAACACAGAUGUCCAGGUAACAAUUUCUUAGUGUUAAUAACAAAUAUGUGUCAGUAAGGUAACAUCUUUUUUCUUCAGUUUGUCAACCCUGUAAUCUCACCCCCAGUUUUUGUUACUCACUAAAUCAAAUGUAAAGUUGACAGUGUCAAACAAAUGCUUUUCAAUUACGUUUUUACCCGGUCCCACAAUUGGAGGUUCACUAGAGGAUAUUUAACAGGGUGUUUUAAGAGAUACAUAAAAUAAAAUUUAAAUUUAAACCACACUCAGUGUGUUAUAAUUCUAAAAUUCUUUAUUUUUCUAAACAGAGGGUGAAUGACCGUUAGUUCUGAAAGAGGCCAACUUUAUUCAACUCGGGAGAAAGGUACAAGAUCUGCACAGAUAUUAUGACUAAUAGAAGCGAAAGAGCAUUUGAUUUCAUCGAGUGUGCUGUCAUAUUUAUUUAUAUAGUAAUAAAACAUCAACAUCUACCUCAUCGAAGAAGUUGAUGAUGACACUGUUUGGUUUCCUGCUUUCUGGUAUUAAACGC
rnacentral:lncRNA from 1 species